CUUAGAUGCUUAAUUCAGCUUUGACAACUGAGUGUGUUGAACAUCAUUAUCAAAGAUUCCAUUCAUUUAAGAUUUUAUGUUGGUUAAGAAAUGUGUCAUUUAGGGAGAUUUGUUUUUUAUACAUAUCAAGGCUGCCAACCUUUGAGAGAUACACUUCAAAAAGAGUGUUUAAAUUCAAGACAUUCAGUCACAGUACUCUGUAAAUAUUAUAAAGUAAAAGUUAUUUAUUUAAUUUGGAAAAGCAUUUGAGGAAAAGAGGAUGUGAAAAAGACUUUGUCCAUUUCAAACUAUCUGUUGUCAAGUACCAGGAAUAUGUGGAUUUUAUUCAACAACUUUAUUAUGAAUUUGAAUAGCAACUUUCAAUAUCUGGAAGCUUUUUUAUCAGUAGGGAUGUGGAUGUGAAAUUGCUAGUAUAUAAAAAUUAUUUUUUAAAAGAUAUUAAUCAAGAAAAUUUUUGUAGAUUAAUAACAGGUAAAAUUUGUAAUGAGAGAUCUUUUAUUGAUCAUUUGCAGUAGUAAGCGACAGUUGUUAUAAUUAUACCCCACUCUGAAGUAGAGGGGGUAUACUCAUUUACCCUUGUGUGUCUCUCUGUGUGUCUGUCUGUAACAAUUUUUCGUCGCAGUUUUCUCAGCAACUACUCAUCAAAGAUGCUUGAAAUUUUGACACUCUCUUUGACUAGGCAUGCCAUAUUGUGGGAUUCAUGAGAGUGUAUAUUCACAUCAGAGCGAGGGUAUUACUAGUGAGCAUUGGCUCACAGACUUCCUGUUUGCUGAAGUUUGUGUUUGACUUUCAUGUCUUUAACAUGAUAUGGCUUAAGGAUAUGCGCAGUAUAGUUUGAAAUAUAUUUUCUUAUUCUCUCUAUAAUUUAAGAAAUCCAGUAAUUGAAAGAUCUUUGUGCAAUUUUAUGAAACCUGGUAAUGCUUGCACACCUUAUCUGAAUCAAAUUUUGAGAAAAUACCACAUAAAACAUUUUUGGGGGGGCAGGGGGAUUUUUCUUUUAAAAAAUGCAAGGGUUUUCAUCAUUUGAUAUUUUUUCAAAACUCCUGAUACAUGUAAUGUAUGCUGAUUUUUUUGUCAAAGAACACCUAAUGGUAUCAUGAUUUUCAAUUAUAUUUUCUCUGAAAAUUAUCAGUUGGAAGGUUCACUGUAAAGUGCAUGUACAUUGCAUAUGACCUUAAAAAUACUGUGGUGGCAAAAGACAAGAAUUUUUUUUUUUUUUCAGUUUUGGUACAUGUACUAUAUUAUUAUUUCGUUAACCUGUCAAUUUUAGAUCAAAUGAAUAAAGGUUAAAAACUAUUA